AAUUUGUUACUUUAUGUCAUGCUUUAUAGGGCUCAAUCCUAACAAGUACACCAUUCAAUUAUAGUUUUUGUGUAUUCCAUUAUACCAAAAUUGUAAACUAGAAGUUUUAUUCUUAUCAAAUUUUUUCUUAUACAUCUUGUGAGUUAGGCUUAAUUGUAUAAGGUAUCAAUUUAGUGAAAAAUUUAAGUGUGAGGUAUCACUUAGGGUUGUCCA
rnacentral:lncRNA from 1 species